UGAGGAAUAUUGCGCAAUGGAGGCAACUCUGACGCAGCCAUGCCGCGUGCAGGAAGAAGGCGCUACGAGUUGUAAACUGCUUUUAUCCGGGAAGAAACCCCUCCACGCGUGGAGGGUUGACGGUACCGGAGGAAUAAGCACCGGCUAACUUCGUGCCAGCAGCCGCGGUAAUACGAAGGGUGCAAGCGUUAUCCGGAUUCAUUGGGUUUAAAGGGUGCGUAGGCGGGAUAGCAAGUCAGUGGUGAAAUCCCGUGGCUUAACCACGGAAUUGCCAUUGAUACUGCUGUUCUUGAGUACGCUCGACGUUGGCGGAAUGUGCCGUGUAGCGGUGAGAUGCUUAGAUAUGGCACAGAACACCGAUAGUGAAGACAGCUCACGAGGGCGAAACUGACGCUGAGGCACGAAAGCGUGGGGAUCAAACA
rnacentral:rRNA from 1 species